CCUCCCCCAUAUUUCUCUUACUGAUAAAACAAAAACAAAAAAAACCGAAUUUAGGUACACUUCUUAAACUAUCUGCUCCCAAUUAUUUUUUGCUGAAAUUUGGCAUGUGCAAAGAAAAUGCAUGUAAAAAAUUGCCUGAAUAACAAAAAAAGCGGACACGACAUUCCUUCGACAACAAAAUAAUGUGAGAACAUCAACGAAAUUUUCUUGAAAGUUUUCAGUAAAACUAACCAUAAAAAAGUUUAGUGAUUAUACAUGAAAGUACUAUAAAAAUCAAGCCUAACCUUUCUUCUUUCCAAAUAUAACUUUUAAUUAUAUAUGUUUCUAAAAAGAAACACCACAAAAAACGUUUGUCUAACCCUACCUAAAAAAAGCAGUAUAUUUAAUAAAGCACCUUGUAACAUAUCUGCUCCCAAUUAUUUUUCGUUAAAAUUUGGCACAUGAAUAGAAAAUGCAUGUAAAAAAUUGCCUGAAUAACAAAAAAAGCGGACACGACAUGCCUUCGACUGCAAAUUCAUGUGAAAACAUCAACCAAAUAUUCAGGAGCAAAAUAAUCUUUUAAAAAGUCUAGUAACCAUACAUAAAAGUUUUAAAAAAGUAAAGAUUAGCUUCUCUUCUUUCCAAAAAGUAUCAAACUCUUCUUUCCAAAAAGUAUCAAAGAGUUGUAUCAAGUCCAUCAUUCAUGAUGGACUUGAUACAACUCUAGCUGAUGUAUUUUUAUUAAAAGAAAAUGAUGCUAUACUUAUAAAGCAAAAGCUAGUUACCUCUGAAUCAAAUUUGUUUGCAUUUCCUUCCGGAGGACCAAGGCCUUUACAUUUUACUUCCAACUCAAUAGCAUAUAAAGAGAGCUCAGAUGUUAGUAAAAGGACAAUUAAGAAAAGACAAAAAGCCGUUAUAAAUUCUUUAAAUGUGAUCUCUGGUAUGUCAACUUCAGCAAACUUCUGCUAUUUUGAAUUCAUUUGAAGUAAAAGAUCAAGUAAAAAUAUGGAAGAUGUCAGACAUACCUUUAUCAGUUAUAAGUGCUGAGGAAAUGAUUAGUAUGAAAGCUCAUAUGGGAAUAACAUAUUCAAACAUGAAGAUACUUGCAAGAUGGCUCAAAACCAAAGAUAUAGAAUGUGCAUCAAAUAAAAAGCAACGAAAAGUAGCUAAAUCCUGGUCUGGAGAGGAUUGGGUAGUUUGUAAUGCUCCUUUUAACUUUCUUUUGAAAGACUCCAGUGAUUCACUUGAAGUAAAAAAUGCUCCUUAGGGAUACAUUAAAGAUCUUCCAUCACAUAUAAUAAACAAACUCAACCUUCUGAAAAGCAAAAAUUUGCUAAAGCAUUCCAAUAUAAAAAAUGAUGAAAUUCACAUCAAAAUUGGUGGUGACUAUGGCGGUGGAUCUUUUAAGAUGUGUUAUCAAAUUGUGAAUGUUGAUAAACCGAAUUCCAGAAGAAACACAAAUAUUUUUAGUAUUUUUGAAGCAAAAGAAUACAAACCAAACCUUAUUGUGGGUCUCUCAAUGUUUACACAACAAAUUAAUCAAUUGCAGUCAUUGUGUUGGAAUGAGAAAAAAAUAAGAGUAUUUAUCUUUGGUGAUUACGAGUUUUUAUGUUCAGCAUAUGGAAUUACUAGUGCAAAUGGUCGACAUGCUUGCUUGUUUUGUCAUAUAACUCGUGCAGGUAUGAAAAAGUCAGAUACUCAAAAAAAACACAGUCCUUGUUCCAAUCGCACGCUGGAAACACUUGAUACAGAUUUCCAAAAAUUCAUUCAAAAAGGUUGAAUACCAAAGUUAGCAAAGUAUUGUAACAAUGUCAUUGAUUCUCCACUUUUCAAUAUUCCUUUAACACAAGUUGGCAUUCCAUUGUUGCAUAUCUCAUUGGGGAUUUAUCUUAAAUUUUUUAAUAUGCUGGAAGAUGGCUGUCAUCUCAUAGAUAUAAAAAUUGCAGCUAAAAUGUGUUUAAAAAAUCAGACUGUAAACAAACAAGAGUUUUGAUGAACAUAUUGUAAUUCAGUUAAGAAUAUAUGAACAAGAAAAAGCUAUUGCUGAAUAUUGUGAAAAAAUAAUACUUAUUCAUGAAGCAAUGUCAAUACAAGUUCUACGUUCUUUUAAAAAUAAAGAAUAUCUAUAUGAAAUCUUUCAGCCCAGAGUAGUUCAUUUUAUGAAGAAGAAAAAUGCUAAGAAAAGUUAAAAACUAAAACAUUUAAAAAAUCGCAUGGACCACUAGUGAAAAAACUUGAUGAAGCUCUAUGUGGGCUUAAUGUUCAAAGACAAGCUUACCACGGAAAAUGUUUUAUUGGGAAUCAUGUUCAUAAAAUGUUAAAGUUAAACAGUGUCCUAGAUCUUUGCAAUUCGAUACCUAAGAUAGUAAGCGAUCUUGGAUUUAUUGAUACAGAUGUUUUUAUAGAGGCAAAAGUCUUGAGUGAGAAAUUUGUUGAGUUGUUCUCUAAAUACGCAACAUGUUACAACUUUAUGAAUUCAAGUAAAAUAAUUAAUAAUAAUCCAUUAUUAGAGUUAGGUAAAAAUAUAUUUUUAUUAUGUUACUUGUAUUAAAAUUCCUCUUGCUUGCAUAAUUAUUCUUUCUUUGUUUUCUAUUUACGUUUUCUUAUUUAUUUAUUUAUUUAUUUUGGAUUUAGAAGGAGUCGUUGGAGAAUUAAUGAGUUACUUUCGUAUUACUUGGCCGAAUGAGUCCAUUACGCCAAAAAUGCAUUUAUUAGAAAGUCAUUGUGCUGAUUUUAUUAGAAAUUGGGGUUUGGGUCUCGAUAUUUAUGGAGAGCAAGGUUUAGAAAGCAUGCAUGCUGAAUUCAAUAGUAUGAACAGCACCUUUUGCCAUAUGAAAGGGAAGCAAAGACUAGAAAGUAUUCUGUCUAAUCACUACAUCAAAAACUCCCUAGAAGCAUUGGAAAUUAGACCUACUAUUCAAGAAAGAAAAUCUUAUAAAAGAAAAGCCUCGUGAUAUCUAUUAAAUAUUUGUAUAUAUGAUUGUAACUGCAUAACGAC
rnacentral:lncRNA from 1 species